rnacentral:rRNA from 1 species
GACGAUAAGGAGGGGGCCAGUCGAUGGGAGCACGUGCUACUGUACGUUCUGGACCCGCGAUACCCGGUGCUGUCAGUCACUGGCUCACCCACCCGACGCGGGCAACGACGAAGAAGGCACGCUCUACCGCACGAUGGCGGACGUUAGAAGCCACGGGCGUCUCCCGUAACAACCAUAAAGCGCACAAGAGGGAACGUACCGCGAAACACACACCGACAGAGAACCCCAUUUCCGCUCCCAGGCCAACCAACCCGAUCUUGGCAUCGUGUGUGAGAGAGAGAGAGAUAAAACGGCAAGAGGAGAAGGAGAGAAUGUAGGUCCGCGGCAGCAGAGCGGCGAAGAGGGCAGCAGCUAGGAGUCAAAGAUCCAAGCUGACUGCCGAUCCCAACCUAAAAACAACACCUACUACGGAGAGGCAAGAAACGGGUCAACUGACGCUACCUACUCCUAACCCCAAUCUCAAACGACUCUAAACCGGGAGCCAGCAACAGCACAGCAGGACCAGAAGUCGAAGGUUCCCUAACCUAGACCACGCCCACAAAGAACGACCCCACAGACAACUGCCAGGAACCUGUCUAUGAAACGACCUAAGAAAAAAACGGUAUACAAACGGAGAUACGAGCAGAACAACCAACAUUAACCAACAUUACCAACAACGUAUCCUCACAAAUCAUGCCGUCAGGACAACAAACUACCAACACUACGGAAACAAUUUCGGAACCCAGUCCUCCUAGGCAUAUAUGCACCAAGUCCGAUGAAAACCAAUACCUAUACUCGAACAGCACACAAAUCUAUUUCACCAAGCACGAAUCCACAUCCCCAAACGAAACUGACCUACGAUAAAAAUGAAACAUCCUAGACGAAGAACUCCAAACAGGACCUAUAUACAGAGUCGUUGUACCGACCAUAAGAUCGAAUACACAGCACAAGGCCCCACACCACUCGUGCGGCCAACUAUAAACUUAAGUACAUAUGAAUGUCUGAUCCAUCCUACUUGCUAACAGUUCAUAAUUUUCCACUUAAUACGUAAAACCAAGGGCCACACGACUAAAUACCAGGACCCCGAAAAUCAAACCCACUAAACGAAGAGCAUAUACGAAAAAUAAAGGAUAGAUCUACGAAACACAACAAGAAAACUUGACUUACUAGAUUGCAAACAAGGACCGAAAAAAAAGAGAAAGAACACUCCUCACCCAAAUUAAAAACUACCCAGAAUAAAUACCGACCUACAAACGACACUUAACAAGCAUACACGUAGACAACCUACAGCAGCAGAGAGCUACAGCAAACGGUAAGGUGAGUAUGGGCGCUCUCCAAUACCUUCUACCACUAAACGAGCCACCUCAGCUCUAACUCCAACUACAAGAACCCUCACUACGUAACUGUCAGUCCUCCAAGAAGACCAGGGUCCGGUCACACCCGAACAGGUAAAUACUUUCGCGACGAAAGGUCCGUUAAACAAAAGACGUUCCCCACAUACCCAAACAAGACAACCUAAUGUUAAUAUCUUCAUACAGAUGAAUAGCUCUCGAACGAGCGAGACGCCACCAAGACCGACGCAGCAACCAGUCCCGUAUUAAUGUUAUUUACUAAGGUUGAGCUGCUUGGAGUUCUUUACGGUCUCUCUCGAGUCUCGAUUCGUCAAGACCAGUAGUCACGAUAAACUCGCACGUCUUAGGAAAGUCUUUAUCGAGCGGAGAAAGUGGCGCUGUUUCUUUUCCGGAGUAAGUCUCUCACUGCUACUAUCGUGAGGUCGUGGACUUUACACAGUUGCUUAGUCUCCAUUAGUACAACAACAAGACGAAAAGCAAAGGUAAGGCCGUUAUGGUUUACAACAGAAUGUAUGUUGACUGGUAAAUGUAGUUCCUACCGGAGUUACUGUGGCGGCCGAGCGAGGGUGGUAUGCUUCUUCGUAGUCUGUUACUUGCCCUAGUGCCCGGGUCGUUCUUUUGUUUCAGAGUCGGAUGACGGGCGUCCUGUAAUCAGAAAUUUCUGACUUACGUGCCCAGCGUACUAUGUAUCUGCCCCUACUGCAACCUCAAAACGGGAGACAGAUACGGAGUUCAUAGCUAAUACGGAGAGACACUACAGUGAGGGUACAGUAGAAAUAAAACAAAUAAGUCGUUUACUACCUAAUCUGCUCCUAAAUAAGCGUGACUUAGACAUGUUGAUACCUGAUAAAUACGUCAGAAAAUAAAUUCGAAACUUUACUCACCUAACCUACGAAUCAAACUCGUAAACAGAACGUACAAAAAAGCACCGCAAUAUAAUAGAUAAAUGCUG